GUCGAGGGGUAGAAGGAGCUUGCUCCUUUGAGACCGGCGCACGGGUGCGUAACGCGUAUGCAAUCUACCUUGUACAGAGGGAUAGCCCAGAGAAAUUUGGAUUAAUACCUCAUAGUAUCUUCGGAAGGCAUCUUCUGAUUAUUAAAGUUCCAACGGUACAAGAUGAGCAUGCGUCCCAUUAGUUAGUUGGUAAGGUAACGGCUUACCAAGACAAUGAUGGGUAGGGGUCCUGAGAGGGAGAUCCCCCACACUGGUACUGAGACACGGACCAGACUCCUACGGGAGGCAGCAGUGAGGAAUAUUGGGCAAUGGAGGCAACUCUGACCCAGCCAUGCCGCGUGCAGGAAGACGGUCCUAUGGAUUGUAAACUGCUUUUAUACAGGAAGAAACCCUCCCACGUGUGGGAGCUUGACGGUACUGUAGGAAUAAGGAUCGGCUAACUCCGUGCCAGCAGCUGCGGUAAUACGGAGGAUCCAAGCGUUAUCCGGAAUCAUUGGGUUUAAAGGGUCCGUAGGCGGCCUUAUAAGUCAGUGGUGAAAUCUUCUAGCUCAACUAGGAAACUGCCAUUGAUACUGUAGGGCUUGAAUUAUUGUGAAGUAACUAGAAUAUGUAGUGUAGCGGUGAAAUGCUUAGAUAUUACAUGGAAUACCAAUUGCGAAGGCAGGUUACUAACAAUUGAUUGACGCUGAUGGACGAAAGCGUGGGGAGCGAACAGGAUUAGAUACCCUGGUAGUCCACGCCGUAAACGAUGGAUACUAGCUGUUGGGCGUAAGUUCAGUGGCUAAGCGAAAGUGAUAAGUAUCCCACCUGGGGAGUACGAACGCAAGUUUGAAACUCAAAGGAAUUGACGGGGGCCCGCACAAGCGGUGGAGCAUGUGGUUUAAUUCGAUGAUACGCGAGGAACCUUACCAAGGCUUAAAUGUAGAUUGACAGGUUUGGAAACAGACUUUUCUUCGGACAAUUUACAAGGUGCUGCAUGGUUGUCGUCAGCUCGUGCCGUGAGGUGUCAGGUUAAGUCCUAUAACGAGC
rnacentral:rRNA from 1 species